rnacentral:lncRNA from 1 species
UCAGGGAGAGCAGCCUCUCCUUCACUUGCCCCACCCUGACCGUCUCUCGCAAUCAACGAAGCAGCCUCUCUCUCCUCGCGGAGGUGAUGCCGAUUCAGCAACGAGGACUCGCUGAGGCGUAUCCAUGUUCUCCGUAUCCGUCAUGGCUUCACGAUGAAUCAUCUCAAAGUCAGAGGGAGAAUUCAACUCGACGACACGAGCAGGACUCGAUUCGGUCGCUCUCACCGUAGCCUUCCCUUUCUGUGCCCUGGAAAUCCUACCGCUACCGCCCGACGACAUUCUCAAAGGACUAAGACUACAAAGUUAGAGAGAGAAGCGGAAAGCAAGAGAGAGAAAGUACCUGAACCGGAUGAAGAGUGGAGAAAAUGAGACGCGAGGGGGUAUUUAUAAGGGAAGGAGCGCAUCACACCCCGAGGGGUCAUCAUUAGGCCUAGAUGGGCCUAGACCAGCCCAUUUGGGCGCGUGAAGCUCACCACGACUCGCGACGUUUCAACUUCUCAAGGAAAACCAAGACCGGUUUGAAUCGAGACCAACAGUCAAAAUCAAAACCGGAAGAAACCGCCGGUCCAAUUCGAAUCAGUCAAAUCAUGGAGGGAUAAUAAACGAGGUGCUCACACAGUCGAGGAAUCGAGUGAGAUAAUAAACCUAGAAUGAUUGUCCUGUAAACCCUACUUCCAAAUUCGCUGAGUCGGCUACGCUAUUCACCAGCGAACUGGGGGGACUUACUAUUGGGUAUGGGCUUGGCCCUCCCAAAAGGCCCAC